UACGAAGGGGGCUAGCGUUGCUCGGAAUCACUGGGCGUAAAGCGCACGUAGGCGGACUCUUAAGUCGGUGGUGAAAUCCUGGAGCUCAACUCCAGAACUGCCUUCGAUACUGAGAGUCUUGAAUCCUGGAGGGGCGAGUGGAAUUCCCAGUGUAGAGGUGAAACUCGUAGAUAUUGGGAGGAACACCAGUGGCGAAGGCGGCUCGCUGGACAGAGAUUGACGCUGAGACGCGAAAGCGUGGGGAGCAAACAGG
rnacentral:rRNA from 1 species